rnacentral:misc_RNA from 1 species
AACCUAGCACACCUGCGGUGUGUACCUGCGGAAGGAUCAUUACAGAGUUGCAAAACUCCCCAAACCAUUGUGAACCUUACCUUCAAACGUUGCUUCGGCGGGCGGGCCACAGCGCCCCCCGGGCCCCCCCAGCGGGGGCGCCCGCCGGAGGAUACCCAAACUCUUGAUACUUUAUGGCCUCUCUGAGUCUUCUGUACUGAAUAAGUCAAAACUUUUAACAACGGAUCUCAGAUCGGAAGA